GUGUUUGCCAUGACAGACUCAGGAAGCCAAUUUUCAUCAUUGAUAUCUGGUUUUCGAGUAUACUAUGGUGGAGGUAAAAUGGCUACUAUACGGCCAAACAAACGGAGACUCGCUGAUAUCUUUGUCAAGAACAACACCAUAGACUGGAGGACAUUUGAGCAAAGGGUGAGGAAGGCAGUGAGACAAACCAAACGGGUAUUUUCACGACCUGUUGGAAGGAGCGUAUAUAGAUAUCCACGGUGUAAGGAAUGCAUGUGCAACACAUAGGUCUAUAUAGUUAAAUAGGUCCAUUGUCAGUUGAGUUUAGGGGGAAAAUUUCACAAGCAAUUGUAAAUGUAUAGUGUCUUCAUUUUAAACUUGAAUCAAGCACUUGGCUUGCUAUUCUAUAGCAUUAUAUGAUACAUUUGUUAUUCUCUAAUUUCUAAUUUAGUGACAAUUAUCAAGAACAACACAAUAGACUGGAGGACAUUUGAGCAAAGGGUGAGGAAGGCAGUGAGACAAACCAAACGGGUAUUUUCACGGCCUAUUGGAAGGAGCGUAUAUAGAUAUCCACGGUGUAAGGAAUGCAUGUGCAACACAUAGGUCUAUAUAGUUAAAUAGGUCCUUGUCAGUUGAGUUUAGGGGAAAAUUUUCACAAGCAAUUGUAAAUGUAUAAUGUCUUCAUUUGAAACUUGAAUCAAGCACUUGGCUUGAUAUUCUAUAGCAUUAUAUGAUACAUUUGUUAUUCUUCUAAUUUCUAAUGUAGUGACAAUUUGUUGAGAUGAGCUUUGUUGAGUUGUCUGCCCAGUAUAUAUUGAUGUGUAAGCCGCUUAGUUAAUAUGAAAUUACAAUUAAUAGAAUUCAAAAGAAUUACAUAUGUUCACAC
rnacentral:lncRNA from 1 species